CCUACGGGAGGCAGCAGUAGGGAAUCUUCCACAAUGGGCGAAAGCCUGAUGGAGCAACGCCGCGUGGGUGAAGAAGGUCUUCGGAUCGUAAAACCCUGUUGUUAGAGAAGAAAGUGCGUGAGAGUAACUGUUCACGUUUCGACGGUAUCUAACCAGAAAGCCACGGCUAACUACGUGCCAGCAGCCGCGGUAAUACGUAGGUGGCAAGCGUUAUCCGGAUUUAUUGGGCGUAAAGGGAACGCAGGCGGUCUUUUAAGUCUGAUGUGAAAGCCUUGGGCUUAACCGGAGUAGUGCAUUGGAAACUGGGAGACUUGAGUGCAGAAGAGGCGAGUGGAACUCCAUGUGUAGCGGUGAAAUGCGUAGAUAUAGGGAAGAACACCAGUGGCGAAAGCGGCUUUCUGGUCUGUAACUGACGCUGAGGUUCGAAAGCGUGGGUAGCAAACAGGAUUAGAUACCCUAGUAGUC
rnacentral:rRNA from 1 species